rnacentral:rRNA from 1 species
UACGUAGGGUGCAAGCGUUAAUCGGAAUUACUGGGCGUAAAGCGUGCGCAGGCGGUUUUGUAAGUCAGAUGUGAAAUCCCCGGGCUUAACCUGGGAACUGCGUUUGAAACUACAAGGCUAGAGUGUGGCAGAGGGGGGUGGAAUUCCACGUGUAGCAGUGAAAUGCGUAGAGAUGUGGAGGAACACCGAUGGCGAAGGCAGCCCCCUGGGUUAACACUGACGCUCAGGCACGAAAGCGUGGGGAGCAAACAGGA